GACGAACGCUGGCGGCGUGCUUAACACAUGCAAGUCGAACGCUGAACCCGCUUCGGUGGGGGAUGAGUGGCGAACGGGUGAGUAACACGUGGGCAACCUGCCCCCGGCUCUGGGAUAACUCCAAGAAAUUGGGGCUAAUACCGGAUGUGACCGCUGGCCGCAUGGUCUGGUGGUGGAAAGGGUUUCCGGCUGGGGAUGGGCCCGCGGCCUAUCAGCUUGUUGGUGGGGUAGUGGCCUACCAAGGCGACGACGGGUAGCCGGCCUGAGAGGGUGACCGGCCACACUGGGACUGAGACACGGCCCAGACUCCUACGGGAGGCAGCAGGGGGGAAUAUGGCGCAAGGGGCGGAAGCCUGACGCAGCGACGCCGCGUGGGGGAUGACGGCCUUCGGGUUGGAAACCUCUUUCAGCAGGGACGAAGCGCAAGGGACGGUACCUGCAGAAGAAGCACCGGCCAACUACGU
rnacentral:rRNA from 1 species